GGAUGUUAAAGCGUUUGAAGGAAGAUUUGCGGUGGACCAGAGUCGGGUGGGAACACCAUGUGGAGGCACACUACCUCUUUUCCUCCAGAAGAACAUAAUUGACUACAAAACCCCUUUUUGAUGUCACCGCUGCCAGAUACAAACCCAAUUAGCCACAGAGCUAACUCAGAUGCAUCCUGGGAACAUGGAAGUACAACGUUCUACAGCUAAUCAGACCCAUGGAAGGAUGACACAUCUGGAUGUCAUCAGCAAGGGGCUUCUGGGGACAUCAGGGGCCGUGUGCUGUUAGAGCCUCCUACCAUCGAGGGUGAAUUACAAGGCUCCGGAGCGUUAAUAAUCAGAGACCAGCUCCUGUCUACACUAGGCCCCUGGGUCUCGGAGUGUCGCUGUUGUAUUCAAAGACCAUUUUAAAAA